rnacentral:lncRNA from 1 species
GUGAUACAUUCACCAAGUCCUUUUGACUUUAGGAUAAUCUUAGUAUCCAUUGCCCAUUUUAAAUAAUUAUCUCCUCAGAUAUUUAGGGCAGUAAAAUACAAGUUGUAAUUCGACAUCUACAAGCAAAAAGGGUUUUGAGUCAAGAUCAUGUAAUCGUUAAUGUCAUGCGGUAUUUAAGACCGAAUCAUGAAUCGAUUUACUUAAAGAUUUGACUUUCCUCUUAGGAUUAAAUUUCCUCUUUUAGGGAUUUCCGAUUUCGAUUAGGUUUUAGGUUUUCCUAUAUUGAUUAGGAUUUAUGAUUUCCUAUUUUAAUUUAGGGUUUAGAUAUUUUCUAUUUUGAAUAGAAUUAAGGAUUUUCCUAUUUACAAUA